CUCAUCAGAGACAUGGUGAAAUUGGAAUGAUACAGAGAAGAUUAGCAUGCUCCUUCGUCAAGAUGACAAGCACAUAUCAAGAAAUGGUUCAAUUUUUA